rnacentral:rRNA from 1 species
GACGAACGCUGGCGGCGUGCUUAACACAUGCAAGUCGAACGGAAAGGCCCUGCUUUUGUGGGGUGCUCGAGUGGCGAACGGGUGAGUAACACGUGAGUAACCUGCCCUUGACUUUGGGAUAACUUCAGGAAACUGGGGCUAAUACCGGAUAGGAGCUCCUGCUGCAUGGUGGGGGUUGGAAAGUUUCGGCGGUUGGGGAUGGACUCGCGGCUUAUCAGCUUGUUGGUGGGGUAGUGGCUUACCAAGGCUUUGACGGGUAGCCGGCCUGAGAGGGUGACCGGCCACAUUGGGACUGAGAUACGGCGCAGACUCCUACGGGAGGCAGCAGUGGGGAAUAUUGCACAAUGGGCGGAAGCCUGAUGCAGCAACGACGCGUGCGGGAUGACGGCCUUCGGGUUGUAAACCGCUUUCGCCUGUGACGAAGCGUGAGUGACGGUAAUGGGUAAAGAAGCACAGGCUAACUACGUG